UACAGAGGUCUCAAGCGUUGUUCGGAUUCAUUGGGCGUAAAGGGUGCGUAGGCGGCGCGGUAAGUCGGGUGUGAAAUCUUGGAGCUUAACUCCGAAACUGCAUUCGAUACUGCGGUGCUUGAGGACUGGAGAGGAGACUGGAAUUCAUGGUGUAGCAGUGAAAUGCGUAGAGAUCAUGAGGAAGACCAGUGGCGAAGGCGGAUCUCUGGACAGUUCCUGACACUGAGACACGAAGGCCAGGGGAGCAAACGGG
rnacentral:rRNA from 1 species